CCUACGGGAGGCAGCAGUGAGGAAUAUUGGUCAAUGGACGAGAGUCUGAACCAGCCAAGUAGCGUGAAGGAUGACUGCCCUAUGGGUUGUAAACUUCUUUUAUACGGGAAUAAAGUGAGGCACGUGUGCCUUUUUGUAUGUACCGUAUGAAUAAGGAUCGGCUAACUCCGUGCCAGCAGCCGCGGUAAUACGGAGGACCCGAGCGUUAUCCGGAUUUAUUGGGUUUAAAGGGUGCGUAGGCGGUUUGAUAAGUUAGAGGUGAAAUUUCGGGGCUCAACCCUGAACGUGCCUCUAAUACUGUUGAGCUAGAGAGUAGUUGCGGUAGGCGGAAUGUAUGGUGUAGCGGUGAAAUGCUUAGAGAUCAUACAGAACACCGAUUGCGAAGGCAGCUUACUGGACUGUAACUGACGCUGAUGCUCGAAAG
rnacentral:rRNA from 1 species